CAGCCGCCGCGGGAAUACGGAGGGUGCAAGCGUUAAUCGGAAUUACUGGGCGUAAAGCGCACGCAGGCGGUCUGACAAGUCAGAUGUGAAAUCCCCGGGCUUAACCUGGGAACUGCAUUUGAAACUGUCAGGCUGGAGUCUUGUAGAGGGGGGUGGAAUUCCAGGUGUAGCGGUGAAAUGCGUAGAGAUCUGGAGGAAUACCGGUGGCGAAGGCGGCCCCCUGGACAAAGACUGACGCUCAGGUGCGAAAGCGUGGGGAGCAAACAGGAUUAGAGACCCGAGUAGUCCCUGUCUCUUAUAC
rnacentral:rRNA from 1 species